rfam:Asian citrus Psyllid, Diaphorina citri - Florida Strain, whole genome shotgun sequence.
GCUCCCAUGGCGUAGUGGUCACUGCACUCGCCUUGCACGCGGGAGACCCGGGUUCGAUUCCCGGUGGUGUCA